GUGAAAUUCUAGAGAACCGCGUGACGUGAGUUGACGACGGAUAUGGCGGACAAGCUGUAUUUUAGCAAAAAGACGCCAUAAUUUUUUACGAUUAUAGGGUAUAUUGGUGAUGUACCGUACGUAUCAACAAAACGAGGUGCAGCAACAGAACAUGACCCAUGCUACAAGACAUGAAAAAUAUAUUGAGGUUUUGUGAACAUUUUCCUGAAUAGUGUGAAAGCAUAAUCUUGAUAAAAGAAGACAACAGACAAAUCUCUCUUCAAGAUAACAAGUAACUUUUGAUAUACAAAGAUUUAAUAAUACUAUGCGGCAACAGAGGUGUACGACAGAAAAAGUACUGUUGCAAAGCAAGACAAGAAGAGAAACCAAUAUAAUUAAUUUUGUUUAAUAUAGGCAAUUUUAUUUUAGUUAAUUAAAUUUGUGAUGCCUAAUAGAAUACAGAAGUGUAUACAGCUUGAACAUCCUGCUGAAUAUUGCAUUGCCGUAAUCCUGGUGAAAGAGAACAUACAGGGGUAUUAUUUUGCAGCAUCAAGGCACCAAUUGCUUCAUUCUAAAAAAAAUGAGUACAUUGUACAGAAGAUAUGAACUGGCUAAUUACAAUAUGACUAGAGAACUGGAAACCUACUAUAAUUUAUUAAUAUCUAUUAUAUAAGCCUAUAUAAUGAAUUGCUGAUGCCAAAUAAUAUACAUUAUGUAAUUUUGGUUAUGGAAAUAAAAAAUAUAAGUAGUGUGUUGUGUCGUUGCUAUUGAAGUUUGAAGACUGAUGGAUGCAGGUAAGUUAUGAAAAGUUGUUGCAGCAUCAUUCUGAAAACUGAUUUAUAUUGUACAGAAGAUAUGAGCUGGCUAAUUACAAUCAGAGAAGAGAACCAGAAAGCUACUAUUAUUUAUUACUAUUAAAGCCUAGAUCAUUUUGAUAUUCCAUAUAAUUUACAUUAUGUGAUUUUGGUGAUUAAGAUAAUACAGUUAAACUUGUCGACCAAA
rnacentral:lncRNA from 1 species